GAUGAACGCUGGCGGCGUGCUUAACACAUGCAAGUCGAGGGGCAGAGCAGUGUAGCAAUACAUGGGCGGCGACCGGCAAACGGGUGCGGAACACGUACAGAACCUUCCUUCGAGCGGGGGAUAGCCCAGAGAAAUUUGGAUUAAUACCCCAUAGUAUAGCGGAGUGGCAUCACUUUGUUAUUAAAGAUUUAUCACUUGAAGAUGGCUGUGCGUCUGAUUAGGUAGUUGGCGGGGUAACGGCCCACCAAGCCUGCGAUCAGUAACUGGUGUGAGAGCACAGCCAGUCACACGGGAACUGGGACACGGGACCAACUCAUACGGGAGGCAGCAUUAAGGAAGAUUGGACAAUGCCCGCAAGGGUGAUCCAGCCAUGCCGCGUGCAGGACGACGGCUCUAUGGGUUGUAAACUGCUUUUGAACAAGAGAAAACCCUUCUACGUGUAGAAGGCUGAUAGUAUUGUUAGAAUAAGCAUCGGCUAACUUCGUGCCAGCAGCCGCCGUAAAAC
rnacentral:rRNA from 1 species